rnacentral:hammerhead_ribozyme from 1 species
AUCCAGCUGACGAGCCCAAACAGGACGAAACGCGCGUCCUGGAU